rnacentral:tRNA from 1 species
GCGGGAUUGGUGUCAAUGGUUAGCAUACGACUCUUCCAAAGUCAAGGAGACAGUUCGAGUCUGUUAUCCCGCA